AUUUAAUCAAAAUUUAUAAAAGCCUUCACUGUUCUCCUUUUCUUCCUAUUGUUCCAUGCUGCACAAAAUCAACUCAAAAGGCUAAUAACAGCAGGUCAGCGAAUGCUGAUGUUGAUGUUGAUUCAAUGUCCUAAAAUCUGAACUGAAUUCCUAUAGUAAAGUAAAAUCACCUACACGAAAGAUCACAAAAUCUUCUCAAAUGGAUUUAUCAUCUUUACUGUGUUCAUUUCUCAGAUCAUGACGUUUCUUUACACUGUUGCAAAUAAUGGAUCUGAUUAUGAGAGAAACCUAUGCGAAUCCAAAGACAUGUUUCUUUCAAGUCCUCUUCCAGGUCAGUACAUCUCUGUAAUUUUUGUUUGAAGAAUCUACACCUCCCUGUAAUUAACUAUUUUAGACUUCUACAUACUUUCAGCCCUAUUUUUUUGACAGCUUUGUCAUCAUUUUUGUGGUCAUGGUUUUUCUUGCUGCCCUUGAUUUUUGGAUUUUAGUUGCGCUUAGAUGGUGGAAUGAGCAGGGUGAGAGUGUCAGGUUUCAACUUCAAACAUGAUACUAAUUUUUUAAGUUAAAUGGUUUCUACAACAACAACAACAAUUUGUUUUUAAUGUUCAUUGAUUCUGUGCAUCUCAUGUUUUUCCUUUUCUUUGAUGCAGUCAGUCAUUGGCUCGUCUGAACAAGAAGGAUUCUUGGCUAUUUUGGUGGACAUUAUUCCUUAAUGUGCAUGUGAGUAAAUAAAAAUUCGAUGGCUGUUGCGUAUAACCCAUAACAUACUCAUGGUUCUUCUUAGAAUGACGGGUGAAGUUAUUUUUGUUGCCAGUAAAAAUCCUAGGAGCAUACCAAAAUUCUUAGAUAUCUGAAUUGCUAUAAAAUAGAGUAGAGAUACUUGUUGUCUUAUGCUCUGAUUUUAUGCAUCUCAUUUAAGUAUAAAACUUUGGUGAUGUUUUGCCUAAUACCAGGUGCGCAAGAAAUAAAAAAAUGUUGGGAUCUUUUGUUAUUAUGUUGAGAUGUUGGUGUAGAUGAGUGGUAAGAUAUGCUUAUAUUAUGCAUUACAUGAAAACUUGAAGGCUGCAAGAGAGGGUGAAGAACAAAGAAUUUGAAUUUGUCAAUAGUACGGAGCAAUAUGGUUUCAACAUGCUGUAUAUGAUGAGGGCGAUCAACGGCAAAAAAACUGUUGAUUGAUAUGGCUGCUGCUUGGGUCAUCAUUGGAAUAUUUUCCGUUAAAAGGUUUGAGGCUGAUUAUGUCCUUGUAGUUGCUGUUUGUGCAAGCCUCGGCAUAGCAAACAUUGUUGGAUUCACCAAGUGCCGUAAAGCAUCUGCUGGGGAUCAGAUUUCAACUGAGAGUAAAUACCAUUCUGUUCUGACAAGUCGAGUUGUCCUAAAAUUUAUGCUUAUUGGGAAAAUUGUUACGUAUUACUGCGAUCACCAGAACCGUGAGAGACAUUUUUCAUAAGCAUGUCACGAAUACAAUCUUUACUUGCCUUUGACGAAGAGUAAGAGCUGUCUCUUGCAUCAUAAGAACUUGGUGAAAUAAAUCCUAUGUCGCUCAAAACAGUAGUGUUUUGCCUGCAUUACUACAGUUUAGAAGUUGCAUUUGUGGAGUGGACUUUGUCUGUGUUCUUGGUUUAUAAUUUGAUACCACACAGCAUCAGUUCCUUAACAUUAUUAGCAUGAAUGAUUUUACCCUCAUGUUACUGUAGUUUUUUUUUUUUUGGUUACUAUGUGAACAAUUAAAAUUCUUUAAAGCAUUCUUAUGCAGAGCCACUUUGAAGCUUCAGUCAAAAACUAGAUUUUCUUUUCUUGUACUGAAGGGUACUCUGUUCAUAUUCAGAUGCCAAGAAGCAAAUUCAAGGAUUUGCAUCCCAGGCUCUUGCGUCUCAUUUCACAUCUUCCAUACGGUCUGCACUUGGUGCAGUGUAAGUUGUCUAAACAGAAAUUAUCCAGAUAUUUCACAUCUUUCUGUUUCUGUGAUGGCCAAUUGCGGGUAAGUACCACAGUACAGUCAUUUUUGGAAUUUCUAAAUCCCUUUUAUUUUUUAAAAUACACAUAGACAGUUCGAGAGAUAUAUGUAAAGAUAGAGAGAACAAAGAAGCUGCAAAAGGUUUUCCAAAUUCAUCUUUUCUUUAAUCAAAAAGUGUCAUUAACUGUACUGUUGUUUGCCACUCGUUCUUAUGCAUUCAAGACAUGAAUACCAUAUUGAAAUUCUCUGAA